rnacentral:lncRNA from 1 species
AACGCAAAAAAAGAAAAAAAAAAAAAAUAUAUAUAUUUAUACGAGUAUAGAAGAAAUAGGUAUAAAAUGUCAUGAACAAAUGAUUAUUGAAAAAGAAAACAUGGAUUAUUAUUUUUUAAAUUUAAAUUUAUUAUAUAAAUAUAUAAAUGAAAGAAAAAGCAUUUUUAUGAAUAUAAAAAAAAAGAUGGUGAAUUAAAACACUAUUAUGAAAGCAUAAAAUUUUAUGAAAAAUAUAUAUUAGAUAUAGAAGAUGAGAAAAGACAAAUUGAAGAAAAUAUUGUAGUGUGUACAGGUGACAGCAGUAAUAGUAACAACUGUAAUAAUAAGACAACAAUUACUCCAGAAAUGAACAAAAUUAAUAAAAGAUACAAAAGAAACGUCUUAGCUGCAAUAAAAGAAAAAAAUGAUGCUAUUAUUGACAUAUAUAAAAAUGUUAGAUAUAUAUAUGAGAAAAAAAAACAAAAUUUUUUUAUUUAUAAAAAAAAAAGUAAAAUAAACAAAACAAAAGUAGACAUUUUUAAAUUAAAUAAAUUUAUGUUAUUUAUUCAAAAUGAGUUAAAUGAUUACAAUACAUAUAUAUUUUAUCAUAAAUUAUUAGUAGAUUUUUUAAAAAAACAAAUCAGGUGUUGUGAUGCAUAUUUAGCAGAAUUACUACUCCAUUUUGAUCAUUUUAAUAAAUAUAUCUCUGAUAACGGUAAUAAUAAUGAACGAAUGGAAAAUCAGAAAAAAAUGCUAAUAUAUAUAUACGAAAAGGUUGAGGAAUUAAUUAAGAGAUUAAUAUCUUGCGAAAAACAUACAAAUGAUAUUUUAAUUGGUUAUAGUGAAAUGCUAGAUAAAUUAUAUUUACUACGAUAUAAACAUAACAGUAAUUACAGAAAAUACAGGCAUUUGUAUUUGUCAACUAAUUAUUUUUACAAAGAAAAUAAAAAAAAUAAUAUAUAUAUGUUUACUAAUCAAUAUGAAAAUAUAAAAAACUAUGAAACUUGUGAACAAAUUAUAAAAGACAUAAACAAUGAUAUAAAUAUUGUCAAAAUGACACAAGAAAAAUGUAAACAUAGAACAGUUUUUCUCGAAGAAAUAGAACAAACAAUAAAAAAUGAAUUUAGAACUAUACAACAGGUGUUUAUAAAUAACCAUAGCAAUAGUAGCAAUAGUAGCAAUAGUAGCAAUAGUAGAAAUAGUAGCAAUAGUAGAAAUAGUAGAAAUAGUAGAAAUAGUAGCAAUAGUAGCAAUAACAGUGGUAAACACACAUAUUUUAAUUUAUCAGUUUUAUAUUAUAGCGCAUUUAACGAAAAUAUGAAGAAUCGUGAUUUUAUUUCAGUUUUUAAAACGAAACUAAAAAAAUAAAAUCGUUUUAUGUAAGAAAGUGUUACAGAAAGUGUAUGAUUCGCUUAAUGAGGACCCAACAGAUGGUUCGGCAGAAAAUGGUAUUAAUAGUAACACUACUGAUAGUACAAAUACAAAUACCGACACGAGCAAUAACCUU